AACGAACGGCUGGCGGCAGGCCUAACACAUGCAAGUCGAGCGCACCUUCGGGUGAGCGGCGGACGGGUUAGUAACGCGUGGGAACGUACCCUUUUCUACGGAAUAGCCUUUGGAAACGAAGAGUAAUACCGUAUACGCCCUUUGGGGGAAAGAUUUAUCGGAGAAGGAUCGGCCCGCGUUAGAUUAGAUAGUUGGUGGGGUAACGGCCUACCAAGUCUACGAUCUAUAGCUGGUUUUAGAGGAUGAUCAGCAACACUGGGACUGAGACACGGCCCAGACUCCUACGGGAGGCAGCAGUGGGGAAUCUUAGACAAUGGGCGCAAGCCUGAUCUAGCCAUGCCGCGUGAGUGAUGAAGGCCUUAGGGUCGUAAAGCUCUUUCGCCUGUGAUGAUAAUGACAGUAGCAGGUAAAGAAACCCCGGCUAACUCCGUGCCAGCAGCCGCGGUAAUACGGAGGGGGUUAGCGUUGUUCGGAAUUACUGGGCGUAAAGCGCACGUAGGCGGAUUGGAAAGUUGGGGGUGAAAUCCCGGGGCUCAACCCCGGAACUGCCUCCAAAACUAUCAGUCUAGAGUUCGAGAGAGGUGAGUGGAAUUCCAAGUGUAGAGGUGAAAUUCGUAGAUAUUUGGAGGAACACCAGUGGCGAAGGCGGCUCACUGGCUCGAUACUGA
rnacentral:rRNA from 1 species